rnacentral:rRNA from 1 species
CAGCCGCCACGGGAAUACGAGGGGCGCAAGCGUUAUUCGGAUUGAUUGGGUGUAAAGGGUGUGCAGACGGCUUAUUAAGUCACUUGUUAAAUUCUUCGGCCUAACUGAAGGUCUGCAAGUGAUACUGAUGAGCUAGAGGGUGGAAGAGAGAAGUGGAAUUCUCGGAGUAGCGGUAAAAUGCGUAGAUCUCGAGAGGAACACCAAUGGCGAAGGCAGCUUCUUGGUCCAUUCCUGACGUUCAUACACGAAAGCGUGGGGAGCAAACGGGAUUAGAUACCCCGGUAGUCCCUGUCUCUUAUAC